UACGGGGGGGGGCAAGCGUUGUUCGGAAUUACUGGGCGUAAAGGGCUCGUAGGUGGCCAACUAAGUCAGACGUGAAAUCCCCUCAGCUUAACUGGGGAACUGCGUCUGAUACUGGAUGGCUUGAGAUUGGGAGAGGGAUGCGGAAUUCCAGGUGUAGCGGUGAAAUGCGUAGAUAUCUGGAGGAACACCGGUGGCGAAGGCGGCAUCCUGGACCAACACUGACACUGAGGAGCGAAAGCCAGGGGAGCAAACGGG
rnacentral:rRNA from 1 species